UUUCAUCUCUUCCAUACUCAAACCCUAGCCGCUCCGCCUCUCUCUCUCAUCUCCCUUCGUUUGAUCUACCUACAACUCAAAACCUCGACAAAACACACUUCGACUUCUGCAAAAGGCAGACAGUUUUCUCUCUCUGAGAAUUAAAAAAUAUGAGCUCGCUGAACUCUCUGAGAAACCAUGCCCUCCAUUCAUGCCGAAAAAUAAUCUACUGGCUGUCACUUUCAGUAAUCUCUUUUCCUGUCGCCAAAGUCUAUAAGUUGAGCACCGUGGGUGAGCGUUUUCUUUCACCCACCUAAAAAAGGCGCUCGCUUUUUCUGUUCGUUUCUUGGGAAAAUUCUACACAUUCUGUUUUUCUCAACCCGCCAGCUGAAUUCCGGCCCCCCGAAACAAAUUCCAGGUAUAUUCCUUCGCCACUUCUCCCACUUUCGGUUUCGAUUUAAUGGCCAUUGUGAAUUUCAGUUAAUCCCCGAGUUUUUCCGCUGUCGAACAUGGCGUGGGCGCAGUUUCAGAACGACGAGCUGGAGUACGUCGUCGACGUCUACUUCGACUUCGCCGACUUCGAAGACACCGACACUUUUGCCGGUACCUAGCUCCCGGGAGCCCACGGCGCCGACUCGGACUUCGCUGAGAGCAAGGCGAAGACUGAUACUUCGGCAACUGCGUUUCCACAGUGACUGAGAGUUCUUCAGCCAUGUCUCUGUUACAAGGCAAAUGGAUCAAGAAAAAAAAUGUUCAAAAGUGUUGGUGGUGUAUAUAUGGUGCAGGCUAUCAAAUUUCUUCUCCUCCUCACAUUGUAGCUCGCCAAGAAGAGAGAUGGUGGAGGCGGUGGUCCAUGUCCUUAACCCACAGCAGCAGCACAACACCCAGCAGAACGUCUCUGCCGGAACGACCUCCGCAGCUGCCGCCGAAAAUCCGCGACCCGUGAAAUGAUGUUAUUUGGACAGGGCAUUGGUGCUUAUUGGGAUCAUUACUGUUAUGCUGGACAUAUGGAAUGAAGAUUUUGUUUUCUCAGGAAUUGCUCGUCUGAAGCCCGGAAUGGUGAACUUCUACAAGGAAGGAAAUUUCUCGCAAUGGUGUGUUUUCGUGGACACCUAGUCACUAACACUGGCAGAUUAAGGUCACUGAAUUCAACAACUUACAUUUCAAAGUAUGGAUGAUGAUAAAGUUUAUUCGGCAAUGGAUGACAAAGUUGUGAUCGAGCAUUUUGUAGUUAUCAUGACAAAGAUUAGAUGAUGAUAAUCUAGUGAACAGUUUGUGUUUGCUUCUCUUAUUUUGUUUUCACCCCAAGAUUCUGCCCAGAAAAGUUAAAGCAAAAUUUCCUUCAAUUCGACAUGGAAUUGUUGAAAGGUGAAUUUGUAUGAGGAAUUCGGAAUACAGAUUAACGUGUAAUAAGGUUGUUCGACAUGCUUUUAGGGCAUCUUCCUUCGCGUAGUCUCGCUUGAUUUAAGAGUCUUCGCAGAAGUUGAAAGUCUUGGAUCUGUUACAAAAGAUGAUCCUCCCUACAAUUGGAAUACAGCAUAAUACAUGUUCGUCACGCCACAUAUACAGAAAGCAAGGAAUCCAAACUAACGACGGACUCAUGUGGUGUGAUUGGCUGCAUUUACGGCGCUUUUGAAUCGCAAAAUGGAAAUGGAGUCCAAAAUGAGGCCACCGAACAGCCCUUAAAUCUAGUUGUGUUGUUAACAAAAUGGAUGAAAGAGAAGGCGGGACUGCAGCGUACCACGUAAACCUGUUGAUACAUACAAUGCAUGACUCCAUAUGUUUGAUACAUUCUUAUUACAAUCUUGUAUGUGCAAGAUAUAUUGUCAAAUCCCAUGCCGUACCAUGAAAACCUGUAGGGUUGAAGGGUGAGCGCGCGGUUCCUCCACGUCAAUGGGAGCAAUGGGAGCUGUAGAACUUCACCCCUAAAAGCAUCAAACAAGUAGCAUGAACUUGUUAAUCUGCUGGCGUUAAAGCCAAUCAAGUUGCAGAAAACAAACUAUACAUCAUGCCAACAGCCCCCGCAGAAAAUCUUCCAGUUAGGAAGCGCGUGUUUAAAUGCAAUAGCACCAGUGCCAGUAGGGUAUUUGAAUGGAAGCUUAUUUGCCGAUUGCGGGUUAGGAGCCGCAAACUCAGCAAGAAGAAUAAGUCGAGGUACUUGGACAGUGGCAGCACAAGAGGCAGCAGAAUUAAGCAAACGUCAAGUAUGCAGUUGAGCAAAGAAUGGGGAAUCGAUGAAAUUUAAGGUGGUCUUGAAACACACCGGAACUGACAGAAUGAUUCGAUUGCCGGAUGCAACCUCAUAAUGAUGUCGACGAGGAUACUCAUAGACACCUGUUAUAUAUGCCUGGGGUGGUUUAUCACGUUAUAAUUGCUUUGGCAAUUUCUGAAGCUGCAACUUCGAGUACUUGGCACACAUGUGGAGAAAAGAUUCGAGGCCUGGCCAUAUUUGUGACAAAAAUCUCCAAAAAGAGGCUCAUUGCUAACCACUACUUUUUAUGUGCGUGCUCCCCCUCCAUCUUGAUCAUCUUAAAAGGUGCAAAAAUGUGGUCCAUUUGAUAUUUACUAUACACAAUACACUUCAUUUUCAAUGA